rnacentral:piRNA from 1 species
UGAAAGAUCAUUCAUUUCCAGCUUACAUGUC